rnacentral:rRNA from 1 species
UACGUAGGGUGCAAGCGUUUGUCCGGAAUUAUUGGGCGUAAAGAGCUCGUAGGCGGUCUGUCGCGUCUGCUGUGAAAACUCGGGGCUUAACCCCGGGCCUGCAGUGGGUACGGGCAGACUAGAGUGCGGUAGGGGAGACUGGAAUUCCUGGUGUAGCGGUGAAAUGCGCAGAUAUCAGGAGGAACACCGGUGACGAAGGCGGGUCUCUGGGCCGUAACUGACGCUGAGGAGCGAAAGCGUGGGGAGCGAACGGG